UACGUAGGGUGCGAGCGUUAAUCGGAAUUACUGGGCGUAAAGUGUGCGCAGGCGGCCGCGCAAGUCGAGUGUGAAAGCCCCGGGCUUAACUUGGGAAUUGCGCUCGAAACUACGUGGCUGGAGUGUGGCAGAGGAAGGCGGAAUUCCACGUGUAGCGGUGAAAUGCGUAGAGAUGUGGAGGAACACCAAUGGCGAAGGCAGCCUUCUGGGCCAACACUGACGCUCAUGCACGAAAGCGUGGGGAGCAAACAGG
rnacentral:rRNA from 1 species